UACGUAGGGGGCUAGCGUUAUCCGGAAUUACUGGGCGUAAAGGGUGCGUAGGUGGUUUCUUAAGUCAGAGGUGAAAGGCUACGGCUCAACCGUAGUAAGCCUUUGAAACUGGGGAACUUGAGCGCAGGAGAGGAGAGUGGAAUUCCUAGUGUAGCGGUGAAAUGCGUAGAUAUUAGGAGGAACACCAGUUGCGAAGGCGGCUCUCUGGACUGUAACUGACACUGAGGCACGAAAGCGUGGGGAGCAGACAGG
rnacentral:rRNA from 1 species